UACGUAGGGUGCGAGCGUUGUCCGGAAUUAUUGGGCGUAAAGAGCUUGUAGGCGGUUUGUCGCGUCUGCUGUGAAAUCUCAAGGCUCAACCUUGAGCUUGCAGUGGGUACGGGCAGACUAGAGUGUGGUAGGGGAGACUGGAAUUCCGUGGUGAUAGCGGUGAAAUGCGCAGAUAUCAGGAGGAACACCGAUGGCGAAGGCAGGUCUCUGGGCCACUAACUG
rnacentral:rRNA from 1 species